UACAGAGGGGGCAAGCGUUGUUCGGAAUUACCGGGCGUAAAGGGCGCGUAGGCGGCCUGCUAAGUCGAACGUGAAAUCCCUGGGCUCAACCCAGGAACUGCGUCCGAUACUGGUUGGCUUGAAUCCGGGAGAGGGAUGUGGAAUUCCAGGUGUAGCGGUGAAAUGCGUAGAUAUCUGGAGGAACACCGGUGGCGAAGGCGACAUCCUGGACCGGUAUUGACGCUGAGGCGCGAAAGCCAGGGGAGCAAACGGG
rnacentral:rRNA from 1 species